GAUGAACGCUGGCGGCGUGCCUAAUACAUGCAAGUCGAGCGAACGGACGAGAAGCUUGCUUCUCUGAUGUUAGCGGCGGACGGGUGAGUAACACGUGGAUAACCUACCUAUAAGACUGGGAUAACUUCGGGAAACCGGAGCUAAUACCGGAUAAUAUUUUGAACCGCAUGGUUCAAAAGUAAAAGACGGUCUUGCUGUCACUUAUAGCUGAAUCCGCGCUGCAUUAGCUAGUUGGUAAGGUAACGGCUUACCAAGGCAACGAUGCAUAGCCGACCUGAGAGGGUGAUCGGCCACACUGGAACUGAGACACGGUCCAGACUCCUACGGGAGGCAGCAGUAGGGAAUCUUCCGCAAUGGGCGAAAGCCUGACGGAGCAACGCCGCGUGAGUGAUGAAGGUCUUCGGAUCGUAAAACUCUGUUAUUAGGGAAGAACAUAUGUGUAAGUAACUGUGCACAUCUUGACGGUACCUAAUCAGAAAGCCACGGCUAACUACGUG
rnacentral:rRNA from 1 species